GAAUCGACUGCCACGGAAGAUGCUGCACGGACAGCUACAACUGGGCCGUUGCUCUGCAGGUGGGUAGAAAAUGCGGCUAAAGGACCAACUGAAGACGUCACUAAAGAAGUGUGGGAUAAACCCUGCCUCCUUCGACACUGUUGCUGCGGACCGUUCCACCUGGCGCGACCUCUGCCAUCAAGGAGUGCGGAUGUCCGAGAAAAAAAUACAUUUGCCCCUGCCUGCACCGGCCUCAACGGGACAGGCCUUUGUGUGCUCUGUCUGUGGCAAACAGUGUGCAUCCCGAAUCGGAUUAUGCAGUCAUCAGCAAACACACAAGGAGUAGAGGAAGUCAUCAUUGGAUACGAUGGACUACCUUAAGCAAGAUCAGGAGUUUUCUAUCCUCCCCAUCAAAGGGUGGGGUCCAGUCCAGACACACACAUCCACUUGGCAGAGUCAUCCCCCAGAGCGCCAUGUUCUGUAGUGUUGCAUAAUGUUCUGUAGUGUUCUGUACCCCCCUAUGAGUUGAAGUUCCUCCACUCGACUCCACAGAUGCUCAAUCAGGCCAAGCUGUCCGGGCGUUAUUCCCGUCUCAACCCUCUGAUUUAUAUGACUGCAGUAUUUCGAGAUGGGCCUGAUGGUAGCAACAUGUAGAUGUUUUUUGUUUUCAUAACUACUGUUGUACUGCAUGUACUGUACUGUCUAUGGGGUUUCUUUGGGGAUAAAUGUGUGAUUACUAAAUGAAACUAAA